AACGAACGCUGGCGGCAUGCCUAACACAUGCAAGUCGAACGAGACCUUCGGGUCUAGUGGCGCACGGGUGCGUAACGCGUGGGAACCUGCCCUUAGGUUCGGAAUAACUCCCCGAAAGGGGUGCUAAUACCGGAUAAUGUCUUCGGACCAAAGAUUUAUCGCCUUUGGAUGGGCCCGCGUUGGUUUAGCUAGUUGGUAGGGUAAAAGCCUACCAAGGCGACGAUCCAUAGCUGGUCUGAGAGGAUGAUCAGCCACACUGGGACUGAGACACGGCCCAGAAUCCUACGGGAGGGAGCAGUGGGGAAUAUUGGACAAUGGGCGAAAGCCUGAUCCAGCAAUGCCGCGUGAGUGAUGAAGGCCUUAGGGUUGUAAAGCUCUUUUACCCGGGAUGAUAAUGACAGUACCGGGAGAAUAAGCUCCGGCUAACUCCGUG
rnacentral:rRNA from 1 species